CCCUGGAGUAACUUCCCUUCCAGAGUGUUAACUCACAUAUGCUUUUUCCGGACCCUAUGUAGUUAGGAGUUUUGUAUUUGUUGAAGCUAGUAGUCUCUAGCGGCCGUACCUGUUCAGUUAUCUUAUAAGUUCCGGACUUAGAUACAGGGAAAUAACUCUGCAAAGUUAAACUCGUAUAAUAACCACUGAACCUCAGUUAAGGCCCUAACCGGACAAGGAUUAGGGAAAAAGGCUUACUCGAUGGCUCGCGUUUAGCGAUCCUAGAGACGACAGUCAUAGACUCUGAGACAAUAAGGCAGUGGCUUUCCCAGUAAGCUUUAAGGCAGUCUUGGGAAAGGAACAGGAGGGGCCAGGGGGACCUUCUGUUCAAAGCGGUACUCGAUAGGGUGGUUCCGUACGAAAGGGAAAUUGGGAUCUCUGACAUCUUGAAUUUUCACCUUUAGGGGGGUAAUUUCAAUGACAGUAAGAGUCCCCUUUCGGGGGAAAUCCAGGAGAGGCUUAUCGCCCUCGUAUGCGUUUCUGUUGUUGUUUCUGUAUGUGUUAAGUCGGCUCGUAGAGGCGGCUUAGCUGCU
rnacentral:lncRNA from 1 species